UGGCAGUGUAGAAAGACUCCCUAUUAGCA
rnacentral:piRNA from 1 species